rnacentral:rRNA from 1 species
UAAGGAAUAUUGGUCAAUGGACGAAAGUCUGACGGAGCAACGCCGCGUGAGUGAUGAAGGUUUUCGGAUCGUAAAGCUCUGUUGUCAGGGAAGAACAAGUACCGUUCGAAUAGGGCGGUACCUUGACGGUACCUAACCAGAAAGCCACGGCUAACUACGUGCCAGCAGCCGCGGUAAUACGUAGGUGGCAAGCGUUGUCCGGAAUUAUUGGGCGUAAAGGGCUCGCAGGCGGUUUCUUAAGUCUGAUGUGAAAGCCCCCGGCUCAACCGGGGAGGGUCAUUGGAAACUGGGGAACUUGAGUGCAGAAGAGGAGAGUGGAAUUCCACGUGUAGCGGUGAAAUGCGUAGAGAUGUGGAGGAACACCAGUGGCGAAGGCGACUCUCUGGUCUGUAACUGACGCUGAGGAGCGAAAGCGUGGGGAGCGAACA